rnacentral:rRNA from 1 species
AUUGAACGCUGGCGGCAGGCUUAACACAUGCAAGUCGAGCGGUAGCACAGGGGAGCUUGCUCCCUGGGUGACGAGCGGCAGACGGGUGAGUAAUGUCUGGGAAACUGCCUGAUGGAGGGGGAUAACUACUGGAAACGGUAGCUAAUACCGCAUAACGUCGCAAGACCAAAGAGGGGGACCUUCGGGCCUCUUGCCAUCAGAUGUGCCCAGAUGGGAUUAGCUAGUAGGUGGGGUAAUGGCUCACCUAGGCGACGAUCCCUAGCUGGUCUGAGAGGAUGACCAGCCACACUGGAACUGAGACACGGUCCAGACUCCUACGGGAGGCAGCAGUGGGGAAUAUUGCACAAUGGGCGCAAGCCUGAUGCAGCCAUGCCGCGUGUGUGAAGAAGGCCUUCGGGUUGUAAAGCACUUUCAGCGAGGAGGAAGGUGGUGAGCUUAAUACGUUCAUCAAUUGACGUUACUCGCAGAAGAAGCACCGGCUAACUCCGUG